ACACGUAGGGGGCGAGCGUUGUCCGGAAUUACUGGGUGUAAAGGGUGCGUAGGCGGCCUUGCAAGUCAGAUGUGAAAGAUCACGGCUUAACUGUGGUAAGCAUUUGAAACUGUAAGGCUUGAGUGCAGGAGAGGAGAGUGGAAUUCCUAGUGUAGCGGUGAAAUGCGUAGAUAUUAGGAAGAAUAUCAGUGGCGAAGGCGGCUCUCUGGACUGCAACUGACGCUGAGGCACGAAAGCGUAGGGAGCAAACAGAGUUAGAUACCCUGGUAGUCCACGCUGUGAACGAUGAGUGCUAGGUGUCGGGGGUCAUACCUCGGUGCCGCAGUUAACGCAUUAAGCACUCCGCCUGGGGAGUACGGCCGCAAGGCUGAA
rnacentral:rRNA from 1 species